rnacentral:rRNA from 1 species
GCAGUCGAACGAUGAAGUUCCUUCGGGAAUGGAUUAGUGGCGAACGGGUGAGGAACACGUGAGAAACCUGCCUUUCAUUCUGGGAUAACAUCGGGAAACCGGUGCUAAUACCGGAUACUCCAUCUUGGCGGCAUCGCCGAGCUGGGAAAAAAUUUUGAUGAAAGAUGGUCUCGCGGCCUAUCAGCUAGUUGGUGAGGUAAAGGCUCACCAGGGCGACGACGGGUAGCCGGCCUGAGAGGGCGACCGGCCACACUGGGACUGAGACACGGCCCAGACUCCUACGGGAGGCAGCAGUAGGGAAUAUUGGGCAAUGGGCGAAAGCCUGACCCAGCGACGCCGCGUGAGGGAUGAAGGUCUUCGGAUUGUAAACCUCUUUCAGUAGGGAAGAAGCGAAAGUGACGGUACCUAAAGAAGAAGCACCGGCUAACUAUGUGCCAGCAGCCGCGGUAAUACAUAGGGUGCAAGCGUUGUCCGGAAUUAUUGGGCGUAAAGAGCUCGUAGGUCGUUUGUCGCGUCGAUUGUGAAAAUCUGAGGCUCAACCUCAGACCUGCAGUCGAUACGGGCAAACUAGAGUGUGGUAGGGGAGACUGGAAUUCCUGGUGUAGCGGUGGAAUGCGCAGAUAUCAGGAGGAACACCAAUGGCGAA